AUCAACGAUGGAAUAGCUUCAGGCUCAACACUCAAAUCUAGACAACAAUUAGGUAUACAUGCUGCGCAAGCACCAGUACAAGCGUAUUAUAAUGGCGGCAGCGACGAAUACCGAGGCAACAUCAGCAGAAAUUUAUCCAUCGGCAAUAUCGCCCACACUUUCAUCGAGCAUUAAUAUUCGCCCAAUAGCAUCAAAGAGAAAAUGUUCGCUAAUCUUCCUUAACAUUAUGGAUAUCUUUGGUUAAUUUUUACAUAUAUAUUUAUAAGUGGUUUGAGUGAAAGACUUCAUGCUGAAAGAUAAAGAAAAUGACAAUUUCUUGUCUGAAAAAUUGAAUUAUUUAAAUGUGGAAAUGCAAUGCGUAUUUAUUAGGACUUGCAAGGCAGUGUCAAAAGGCAAGGCUGCAUCUGGCAUCUGGCGGUUGAGGAAAAGACAAUGCACCGCUGGAAGUGUAACACGUAAAAGGCCAAGUGCAUUCGACAUAAGCUCUCUUCUGACAUUUUGCAUAAAAAAUGCACAUCAGCUUUGUCGUUGAAGGGUUAAGUUCCUUUUACAAGGGCUACUCAUUUCGCAUGUUUAAUUUCGCACACAACCCUCUUUCAAAAUGGAAAACAACAUAACCGCAAAGAAAGUCGAACCUAUGAAAGUCCGCACGCUACUGUGACUGCGCAUUCCGCGUCAACACGUUGAUCUCUAGAGUUUAUCGCUCCAAGGCAAACACCACAUUAGUAAACAAAUAUAUCUUGGAAAGGACAAGACAUUUUCUGGUCGCGUAUAAAUGUUGUUUAAUACUUUGCUAAAUAUCUUUACAAAAAGGAAAAAAAGUAAUUUAUUUCCAUUUUUUUUUAUAGCGUCCAGUUGGAAAUUACCUUCUCAAGUGAAUUGGUGACCUGUAAUAAACGACAACUCAAACCUCUAGUUUCUAAUAUUACAAUUAAGGAAUGACAAGUUGUCCUGCGUUGAUAGCACGGCUGGUGCGAAAUUUUUUAAUUAUGGGAACUAAUCUGAUGAGAAUUGAUUUGAUGGAUGGGAUUAGAGAACUGCUCCAACUGCUCGUUCACGCUACCCAUCACUUCCAUUAUGUAUUUAUCUUCUUGCCCAACUUGCUCCAUCAAUUCCUGAGGGAACAUCAUAUAUAUUUAAAAAUUUUGAAUUCGGAAACUCAAUGCUUGGUAAUUUCGCAAAUAACACAUUUUCGAUUUCUUUAUAGCCGCAGUCGACUUUCCAAUGCUGAGCAUGACUGCAAUAAAAAGGCCUGAUAGCGAAAAUUCUUAAUACAGAAAAGAGAGAAAGAGAUAGAUAGAGAUAGAUAGAUAGAGAGAGAGAAAGAGAGAGAGCGAGCGAGUGAGUAAGAGAGAAAAUAGUAUUACAUUGUUAGGAGCCUACGUACACCGAAGACGAGGAUUGUUCGGUAUUCUUCCGUCUUCGUAACUUUUUUCAAGUUGAAGUAGCCGCAACCAUAUAGGAUAUCCUCGGUCCGAGAAUAUUUUGCUUUUUCAUUUGUGUACACUUCGUCGAAGUGUACCUGUACAACCUUGUCGUGAGGACUUAACCUCCCUAAGACCUCUCUCAGCGCCUCGAUGCCUACUAAGUCUUAAACUACUUCAACUUCCUGGUCUUCAUCUUCGUUUGCAGCAGGUUCAAGGCAUCGAUUCUUCUCCCUCCGCACUGCUUCCGCCGACGUUGUUGGUCCUUCAUCGAAUAUCCAACUGGUCGCAGGUUUUCGCUAUACGGAACAAAUAUCUGAAAGACAGCGACAUUGAAGUAUCCAAUGUGGAGCGUGAUUCUCACCGCCGCAAUGUUAUUAUUAAAAAAAUGAAUUGUAAUAUAUUGUUUUUCAAAAUUUGGUAUUAUUUGAUAUUUAUAAUGAAAAUAACUUGUUAAACAAAUACAGUCUAUGGAAUCUUAAAUAUUCGAAAUUAUUCGAUCUUUUUGAUACAUGCAACAAACGCUUAGAUAUUACUGAUUUAUUGAUUAUUCUAAAAAGAAGGGACAAUUUUGUAGGAAAUUGUUGGUCAAGUUUGUUUAAAUAAUAAAUCGUAUGCAUUGAAAUCUAUAUACGAAAAGUCAGGAUAGAUUUCUGAUCGUUUGCUUCAAUGUUUAUGGGAUGAGAAACAUAUCUGGUCAAUUCGUUUCAGAAUCCGAAGUUGAUCAAGCCCAUGUAAAUGCAAAUGCCUUCAUUUGCAACAAAAGAACAGCCUUUGUUUGUUGGUAUGUAUAAAUUUUGAAAUAUAAGUCUUUCCGUCUCAUUUGACAAGUGCAACCAAAUUGAUUAUAUAAAUCGGUACACUAUCGUCUAAGAGAUAUUUUGGUUAUGAAGGCUUCAGUGCGUAAGAUUUCUAAGGAAAUUCUGUAAUUGCUGUAGGCAAUUGCUGGAGUGGUGACUUUUUUAGUAUUUUUUUAAAGCAACUCAUUACUUAUACAUGCAUUCGCAAUACUUCCUCCCUCGGGAUAUUCUUCUUCUUUUUUACAAAUAGGCUUGAGAUAUUUUCUUGAUUUUUUAUUAUUUUCCCUUGUACCCAAUUAUU